UCCCAGACUCCUACGGGAGGCAGCAGUGGGGAAUAUUGCACAAUGGGGGAAACCCUGAUGCAGCGACGCCGCGUGAGUGAAGAAGUAUUUCGGUAUGUAAAGCUCUAUCAGCAGGGAAGAAAUACUGACCUUACGGUCAGCAGACGGUACCUGACUAAGAAGCCCCGGCUAACUACGUGCCAGCAGCCGCGGUAAUACGUAGGGGGCAAGCGUUAUCCGGAUUUACUGGGUGUAAAGGGAGCGUAGACGGCAGCGCAAGUCUGAAGUGAAAUCCCAUGGCUUAACCAUGGAACUGCUUUGGAAACUGUGCAGCUGGAGUGCAGGAGAGGUAAGCGGAAUUCCUAGUGUAGCGGUGAAAUGCGUAGAUAUCAGGAGGAACACCGGCGGCGAAGGCGGCCUGCUGGACCGCGACUGACGUUGAGGCUCGAAAGCGUGGGGAGCGAACAGGAUUAGAUACCCUAGUA
rnacentral:rRNA from 1 species